rnacentral:rRNA from 1 species
CCAGACUCCUACGGGAGGCAGCAGUGAGGAAUAUUGGUCAAUGGGCUUACGCCUGAACCAGCCAAGUCGCGUGAGGGAAGACUGCCCUAUGGGUUGUAAACCUCUUUUGUCAGGGAGCAACGCCGGCUACGUGUAGCCGGACUGAGAGUACCUGAAGAAAAAGCAUCGGCUAACUACGUGCCAGCAGCCGCGGUAAUACGUAGGGGGCAAGCGUUAUCCGGAUUCACUGGGCGUAAAGGGAGCGCAGGCGGCACGGCAAGUCUGGUGUGAAAGCCCGGGGCCCAACCCCGGGACUGCAUUGGAAACUGCCGGGCUGGAGUGCCGGAGGGGCAGGCGGAAUUCCUGGUGUAGCGGUGAAAUGCGCAGAUAUCAGGAAGAACACCGGUGGCGCAGGCGGCUUGCUGGACGGCAACUGACGCUGAGGCUCGAAAGCGUGGGGAGCAAACAGGAUUAGAUACCCGCGUA